CAGCGACCCACAGCGACCCACUGAGGUGACCCAGGGACCCGUAGGGUGAUGCAGGGACCCAUGGGGGUGAUGUAGGGACCCGUAGAGACCCACUGAGGUGACCCAGGGACCCAUGGAGGUGACCCAGGGACCCACAGGGGGGACACAGGGACCCACAGGGUGACAUAGGCACCCAUGGGUGACACAGGGAGCCACGGGGAGGACUCAGGGACCCACAGGGUGAUGCAGGGAGCCACAGAGGUGCCACAGUGACCCAUAGGCACCCACUGAGGUGACCCAGUGACCCAUAGGGGUGACACAGGGAGCCAUAGGGGUGACACAAAGACCCACAGGGUGACAUAGGCACCCCUGCGUGACACAGGGACCCACAGGGGGGA